rnacentral:rRNA from 1 species
UAACACAUGCAAGUCGAGGGGCAGCAUGGUCUUAGCUUGCUAAGGCUGAUGGCGACCGGCGCACGGGUGAGUAACACGUAUCCAACCUGCCGUCUACUCUUGGCCAGCCUUCUGAAAGGAAGAUUAAUCCAGGAUGGGAUCAUGAGUUCACAUGUCCGCAUGAUUAAAGGUAUUUUCCGGUAGACGAUGGGGAUGCGUUCCAUUAGAUAGUAGGCGGGGUAACGGCCCACCUAGUCAACGAUGGAUAGGGGUUCUGAGAGGAAGGUCCCCCACAUUGGAACUGAGACACGGUCCAAACUCCUACGGGAGGCAGCAGUGAGGAAUAUUGGUCAAUGGACGAGAGUCUGAACCAGCCAAGUAGCGUGAAGGAUGACUGCCCUAUGGGUUGUAAACUUCUUUUAUAUGGGAAUAAAGUGAGGCACGUGUGCCUUUUUGUAUGUACCGUAUGAAUAAGGAUCGGCUAACUCCGUGCCAGCAGCCGCGGUAAUACGGAGGAUCCGAGCGUUAUCCGGAUUUAUUGGGUUUAAAGGGAGCGUAGGCGGACGCUUAAGUCAGUUGUGAAAGUUUGCGGCUCAACCGUAAAAUUGCAGUUGAUACUGGGUGUCUUGAGUACAGUAGAGGCAGGCGGAAUUCGUGGUGUAGCGGUGAAAUGCUUAGAUAUCACGAAGAACUCCGAUUGCGAAGGCAGCCUGCUGGACUGUAACUGACGCUGAUGCUCGAAA